CCUACGGGAGGCAGCAGUGGGGAAUUUUGGACAAUGGGCGAAAGCCUGAUCCAGCCAUGCCGCGUGCAGGAUGAAGGCCUUCGGGUUGUAAACUGCUUUUGUACGGAACGAAAAGGUCUUUUCUAAUAAAGAAGGCUCAUGACGGUACCGUAAGAAUAAGCACCGGCUAACUACGUGCCAGCAGCCGCGGUAAUACGUAGGGUGCGAGCGUUAAUCGGAAUUACUGGGCGUAAAGCGUGCGCAGGCGGUUAUAUAAGACAGUUGUGAAAUCCCCGGGCUCAACCUGGGAACUGCAUCUGUGACUGUAUAGCUAGAGUACGGUAGAGGGGGAUGGAAUUCCGCGUGUAGCAGUGAAAUGCGUAGAUAUGCGGAGGAACACCGAUGGCGAAGGCAAUCCCCUGGACCUGUACUGACGCUCAUGCACGAAAGCGUGGGGAGCAAACAGGAUUAGAUACCCUGGUAGUCCACGCCCUAAACGAUGUCAACUGGUUNUUGGGUCUUCACUGACUCAGUAACGAAGCUAACGCGUGAAGUUGACCGCCUGGGGAGGACGGCGCGUAGUAGUUAACGUUACGUAAUUAGAAGUAGACGGCGUUGAGACGNGCGACGGACGACGACGAGGGAGGAGG
rnacentral:rRNA from 1 species